rnacentral:rRNA from 1 species
UACGUAGGUGGCGAGCGUUGUCCGGAAUUACUGGGCGUAAAGGGCUCGUAGGCGGCCAACUAAGUCAUACGUGAAAUCCCUCGGCUUAACCGGGGAACUGCGUCUGAUACUGGAUGGCUUGAGUUCGGGAGAGGGAUGCAGAAUUCCAGGUGUAGCGGUGAAAUGCGUAGAUAUCUGGAGGAACACCGGUGGCGAAGGCGGCAUCCUGGACCGAUACUGACGCUGAGGAGCGAAAGCCAGGGGAGCAAACGGG